CUGGAACUCAACCCAAAGAAUCUCAAUCUCAAAGGAAACAACCCUACAGAUGGGCUACAGUGUGUCUGGGGUUGCUGUGUGUUUUCCUGCUGACGGCCCUCAUAGUGCUGAGUGUUAACUGUAAGAGUUCUGAUGGUCUUCAUACAAAAUACGAGGCCUUGAAGGCUGAGAGCGACCUGCUCUGGACCAAUUUGAGCUCACUGGUAUCAGACAAAGACCAGCUACAGA